AACGAACGCUGGCGGCAGGCUUAACACAUGCAAGUCGAACGCCCCGCAAGGGGAGUGGCAGACGGGUGAGUAACGCGUGGGAACAUACCCUUUUCUACGGAAUAGCUCUGGGAAACUGGAAUUAAUACCGUAUACGCCCUACGGGGGAAAGAUUUAUCGGGGAAGGAUUGGCCCGCGUUGGAUUAGCUAGUUGGUGGGGUAAAGGCCUACCAAGGCGACGAUCCAUAGCUGGUCUGAGAGGAUGAUCAGCCACAUUGGGACUGAGACACGGCCCAAACUCCUACGGGAGGCAGCAGUGGGGAAUAUUGGACAAUGGGCGCAAGCCUGAUCCAGCCAUGCCGCGUGAGUGAUGAAGGCCUUAGGGUUGUAAAGCUCUUUCAACGAUGAAGAUAAUGACGGUAGUCGGAGAAGAAGCCCCGGCUAACUUCGUG
rnacentral:rRNA from 1 species